CAAGUAAGUAGUUAAAACUACUUUCUAGCUUUAUUUCAGAAGAUGCAUAUUCUCUGCUUGUCAGACCGUUGUCCUAAAUGCACCAUGUAUUGGUACUAGUGGUUUUUAAUAAUUCUGUAGUUCGUUGUUGCUUAGAGUCCAAAUAGGUUGGGGGGGGGGGGGGGAGCUUAACAGUAGGGUGGUUUUGUGUUAGAAAAAAUGCUACCUUGAAAGGGCAUCAAAUGAUAAGAUUAUAUCCUUUCAUCAAAAAUAUUGGGAAUUUAUAAAUACAUUUCAUUUUGGCAAAUUAAACUUUUAAUUUUUGUUUUGUAAGGCAUUAGGAUGGACAAGGAAAAAAUACCACAAUAAUUGAACUUCUUUAAAGUGAAAAACUUUGGGAUGUCUUAUUUGACAGAGGCUGGAACAUGACCAGGCAAGGUCAUUUUAAGAUUUUAGAAACUAAAAAGAACUCCACAGUUCAGAAAUUCCACUUUCUGGCUGGCUUUAAUUGUAAAUUUAUUUUCUAUUCAACAGUGACAGUAGGCCAAUGUAUUUGUCACCUUGCUUUGGUUUUGUUCACUUGCUUGCUUGCUUGGUUUUACUGCUUACUAAAUGCUGGAGUAUUGGGGCUAAAAUUCUUCAGGGACACCUCUAACGUAAACUGCAUUUUCACUAGUAUUUGUUGAAUAUUGUCAAAAUUUUCUUAAUGUCUAAAUGUAGACCUAAUUCAUCCUGACAGUGUUAUGUUACUAUUGAACUGCCAGUUUUAAUUGAAGUACAACACAGGCCCAGAAGGGAAAGGCUCUACAAAUAUUUGCAGAGGAUGCAUCUUACUGGAUUUGAUUUAUCUCUUCUUACGUUGUAAGUUGUGCACAGACUGAAACAUUGAAUUGGAGUGAAUUGUAGAAGUUCCCAAGAGAGUCUGAGGACAGAGAACAAAGAGAAUCCCACGUGGAACGCCACCGAUGAGUCUGAAACGAGAGAGGGAAAAGGAACACCGUUUUAACAAAGAGCGCUCUUCUAUCGCCAGUGUUAUCAAGAUACUGCUGCUGGCAAUUCAGGAUCCAGAGUUUGUCACUGGAAGUUUCAAAUGCACAGGAGUAAAUUUGCCAAUUUCCUUUUGAUUCAAGCCACUGCUGCCAAAGAGACAUGAGUAGAAUGAAGUUGCUUUUCUGAAAAGAGCAUAAGAGCCUUCUCUACAGCGUGGUGGAUGGUAAAGUUUAUAACAAUACUGCAAGUUAGAGCAACACCUAAGUGUUCCCUAGCAAAUCUAAGGCUGUGGAUGUUUAAAUACUUAAGUUGCUUUUCCUGUUUCACAGUCCAAGUGAAUUAAUUCUUGAUUUUUAUUGAUCAGGAAAAAUUAUCUGAGUAACUUUCAUUAUUAGACUAGGUGGUUUUUUUCUAGGCUUUCUUCUAAUCUCCUCGUUGAAUAGAGUCUUAACAUGCAUCUAUCCAUUUUUUGCCUUAUUUUCAGAAAAGUGUAUUGUUUUAUCUAAGGUUAAAUACUUUUGAAGAGAAGGCAAUCUGUAUUUAAAUAAGAAUUAGCAGAUUUAGGUAAGCUCAAGCACCUUUUAUUUGAACCUUUUAAGGUCUAAAAAUUAAAAACUGAUUUCACAAGGUUUUUGUCUUAUGUUGGAUACUACCUCUACUUAUACUGAAACAUAGCAGUUCUAUUAGUGAUCCUAGGGUUUGGCCAGGCCUUCUUAUAGUAAACAAAAUAAAACCUACAGAAUUUUCUGUCCAUGAGAUAAAGGAAGAUGGCUAGUCUGCAGUAAUUAUCACUCUGUAAAUGAAUGAGGAGAAGCCUCAUUUUACAGAGGGUGCUACACUGGCAGCAGCAGUAGUGCAGUGAAUAAUCCCAGACAGCUCAGCUAGGCACACACACAUUUUUCAGUUGCAUGUUCUCAUGAUUGGCACUGUAAUGCACCAUUUUGGACACUUCCUAAGUUAGUGGAAUUUUUGCCUGAACAAAAGCUUCACAACUGUGCCAUACAUUCCUUUUCCGUAAGUUUUACAAUCCUCUUGUUUGCACUAGUACAACUGAACUGUCCUUCACAUCAGUUUCCUUGUGUUUCUACUCUGUGAAGCCAGUUUGUAUAAUUACUUCAAAAACUCCUGUCCAGCCACAUCUGUGUCUGUCACUAACAGAGUGCAAAUCUUUUUUGGCCCAUAACUCUACUUUUCCAUACAUUGCAAAAGGCACCAAACAUGCAAUUAUUGCCGCCUAAAUAUUUUACUAGGCAAAAACAGAAGACUGUGUUCUUCUAAUUUAAACAAGUGAUUUUCCACUAACUUGAGUAGAAUGACUCCUCAUUUAUACCAGUUGAAGUGAAAAAAGAAUCAGGCCUGAGCUGUAGAAAUAAAAUAAUCUAUGUUCUGAUUUUUCUCUCAGUGAAAAAUUCUCACUGAUUUGAAAAAAGCACUCUCUCAAUAUAUUAAGUAGAGGUAAAAUGUCACAUUUAAAUUAAUUGAAACUAGGACUGCACACAUCAGUUUUAAGUAAGACAUGUCUUUUUAUUCACUACAGAAUGCAGAAGGUUUUAAUCUCUAGAAAAAGAUGCUGGCUCUCAGAGGAAACAAGGUUGCCUCUGAGUUUUUAAUUAGCAGGUAAGCUUGCAAUCACUCGUGAUCUGUCAGCGCCUCAGCAAAUUCUUCUGCUCUCCCUGAGCAGCCAGCAGCAGUGGAUUACAAUCAGACAGCAGAAACUAUCACGUCUCUAUUUCUGUGUCUC